rnacentral:lncRNA from 1 species
GAAUUGGAAUCUGUAAAUAAGACGAGCAUGAACAUGGAAAAUGAGAAGCCAUGAGUUGUUAAUGCAUCUGAAGAUUAAUAAAAAAAAAUGUGCUAAGUUUCUUUGUUCGAGCAAGCCUCAAAAGUCUUCCAUGUGUGAUUGCACUAGGAAGUUAAAUACAAAUGUUCAAGAAAUUGUGUUGACGAGUCCAUUAUAAUCAACCAACCUUACAUCAAACGAAGAAAUGCUCUCCCAUCAUGUUGGUGGAGCCGUGGUCUCUAUCUCAACUUCCAUCCACCAAUGGAGGUUUGACAUGGCCCACUUGCCGUAAUCUUUGACUACUCAUUUUGAAUAUCGCUUCAUUUGAGCUUUAAAUUGAGUGCUUUUUUAAAAAAAUUAUUACAUGAUUUAGGGUUUGAUCAAGUUUAAAUUGUGAUUCUUAAAGUUCACUUCAAAUUUUUUCCUUUCAAGAUUUACCCUUUGUUCCAUUUACCUUAAGUUUUUCUUUUUGGUGUUGAAUUUGUUCAGUCCCGCUCUUUUUUGUAGAUAAAGGAUAUCUUUGUCAGAGCAAUUACUUGUUUUAUGCAGGGAUAAAUAAGGCGAAAGAUUUAAUAUGUUCACAGGCAAAAGUUAACUCUUUGAAUUGAAAUUUUUUAUUCUCAACUUCAACUCUGAAAAUCAAGUGUUGUACUCUAAAGCAAGUCUUAUUCCAUGAACUCGGUAAUUAAUCGACAUCAUGAUGCUCCCAUGGACCCUGCCUUGUGUGUAUAUCCUAUUUGAGAAGUAUGGGCAGUCUUUUCGAAUGCAAUCAUUUUCCAGCUCAAGUGCACGAACAAUGGCAUCAUCUCUGCGAGCAUAUUACCCCAACUUCCUAGAUGAAGUAGAUGUAGAUAGUUUAGCUUUCUCAAUGCAUGAAUCAUACUCCCUGCAGUGAAAAACUUAUGCUCUUUUGACUUCUCGAGAUUAUUCGAGUACCUUAAAGAAAUUCUCUGAGAACUCAAAUCAAAUUAUAUUUGAUACAUAGUGAACUCAAGGAAGUGCUUCACAUCGUUUAAAGCAUCUAAAUAGGGGAUAUUGAUAUUAAUAUUGAGGCCUUUGAAGUUUGGAGCCCAUCCUACCUUUUCUUGAUUAACACACUAGCAUGCACACUCGAUCAAUAUAUUGGUUUGUACCUUAAACAUGUUCAAAAUUUUGUAGCAUCUUCUAUUAAAAGAAAAAUUACUUAUUCAUACUAUGAACAUGGAAAGAUGAACUUAAAUUUCACUCAUCAACAAAUAAAACCUCUAAUGCACAUGAAUUGCACGAAUUUACAAUUUAUACAUGUAAUGGACGAGUACUUAUCGUAUUCAUGUUAUUUAUGUGCAAGCAAUUGAAGGAGAUUUAUGUCACAAAACCACUCUCAGGUCCUCGAAUGCUCUCAUUUUCCUCAUUACCACCCCUUCAUCCUUCGAAUCAUUUGCAUUUCUCCACAUCCUAGAUUGUCUAUUAGCAAGUCUCACACGAUCCAACACCUCGAAUGAUUCAAUGGAUGCUUGUAGUUCCUAUGCUGAAUCUUAAAUUAUCUUCUGAAAUGUUGAAAUCCUCGUCAAAAUCAUUACUUGCUUCACUAGAAUCAAAAGAACUCGGUAAUUAAUCGACGUGAUGAUGCUCCCAUGGACCUCGCCUCUUGCAUAUAUCCUACUUGAGAAGUAUGGGCUAUCUUUUAGAAUGCAAUCGCUUUCUAGCUCAAGUGCAUAAACAAUGGCAUCAUCUUUACAAGUAUAUUUCCCCAUCUUCUUAGAUGAAGUAGAUGCAGACAUCUUAGCUUUCUCAAUGCAUGAAUCAUACUCCCUACAAUAGAAAACUUUUACUGUUUUUGAUGUCUCAAGAUUAUACGAGUACCUUGAAGAAUUUUCUAAAAACUCAAAUCAAAUUAUAUCUGAUACAUAUUGAACUCAAGGAAGUGCAUUACAUAGUUCAAAAUAUCUAAAUAGGGGUCAUUGGUAAUAAUAUUGAGGUGAUUGAAGUUUGGAGCCCAUUCUACCUUUUCUUGAUUAAUACACAAGCAUGCACACUUGAUGAAUGUAUCGAUUUGUACCUAAACAUGUUCCAAAUUUUGUAGCAUCUUCUGUUAAAUGAAAAAUUACUUAAACAUGCUAAUUUAUACUAUGAACAUGGAAAGAUGCACUGUAAUUGCACUCACUCAUCAACAAAUAACACCUCUAAUGCACAUGAAUUGCACGCAUUUAUACAAGCAAUGUAUGAAUACUUAAAUCGUAUUCAUGUUAUUUAUGUACAAGCACUUGAAGGAAACACUAGUAUACUCCUGGAUAUAAGGUAAAACGAAAAAUUACAUAAGCUAUUUUAUGCCAUGAACAUGGUAAGAAGAACUCAAAUUGCACAUGGCAACAAAAUAUACCUCUAAUGCAUGUGAAUUGUACUCAUUUAUAAAUGCAACGCAUGAAUAAUUAAUAAAAAGAUGAUCUGAGAAUCGGCUAAACUUUGCCAAAAACUAACUAGUUGAGAUAGUUCAACUUUGUCGUGAAUUUUGUACUCAUCCUUGAUUGCAAAUGCUCUACUAUGGUCAAAUUAGUUAAUUACAGUAACUUCGUUUUCGAUUGCCUCUCAUAUUGGGUGGAAUGAACAAAACUUCUUUUUUCAAUGAGAAAGAUAACUACACCUAAUUAGUUCAUUCGCCUAAGUUUUACAUUACGCCUAAUUAGUUCAUUCUCCUAUGCAACAAUAAAACGAGCACAAAUAUGACAAUUACUAUCAAAGAGAACUUUUUUCAAUGUGUUUUGAUGUGCAAUCUAGCAUUCAAAAUAUUUUCUUCAAAUUUAGGAUUAGUAAUAAAAGUUGAUAAGUAAUCAAGCAGCUUAUUUGAUCUCCCUUCUAGACUAGGAUCCAACUGGAUUUGGUUAAAAAAUAAAGAACUAUUAAGAAUUUUGACAACUUUCACAACCCCCGAAUUAUACUCCAUAGUACAAAAAGAAAAUAGGCUGAUAUAUCAUUAACAAGUGGCAAACAAACGCAAAAGAUAUAAGAAACUUAAGAAGAAUUAAAAACAAUAGACGAACUUCUAUACAAAAAUAUUUUUCAAAUAAAAAUUAGAACAUUCCAACCUAUUGAGAAUAAUAUAUAUUAUUUAGUUGUAAAGUAAUGUAAACCAAAUGUCCCGAAGAUGUCAUUGUUCUAAAGGACUUCAUAGAGCAAGACAGUCUAUGAUUUUCUUGUUGGACUUAAUCCAGAAUUUGAUCAAGUUAGAAUCCAGAUUCUUGGCAAGCAGGAAGUUCCAUGUUUUGAUGAAGUGGUGGCAUUGAUUCAAGGUGAGGAAAGCAGAAGGGGUCUGAUGCUUGAACCACAUAGCACUGACAGCUCUGCUAUGGUGGCUAAUGGUGGCAAUAAUUCAGCCACGCUUGUGGAAAGAACACCAAUUGUUGGAAAUGGAAGACCUGACCAACCAAUAGCUCAGAACCAUGAUUACAAGGAUAGCUUGUGGUGCACCUAAUAUAUGAAAGCACGUUAUAAGCGUGAACAGUGUUGGAAGCUUCAUGGAAAACCUCCAAGUCGAGAGUUGGGACAAAAAGGAGAACAGUCAAGAAACCAUUGUCGGGCCCAUGUUGCUGCGAUGCAGCAGCACCACAGGAGUCAAGUGGUCUCAAUCAAGAGGGGUCGAAAGAGUGAGAUUUCUUAUUGGCAAUCUUGACAAACCUGCAAGUACUUGUUCAUUGGAGUAUUCAGGUGAGUGUCCAUUCUCUAUUGGAUUAAAUAUCUCGGGUGAAACCUUUGCCAUCUCAUGGGUUAUGGAAUCAAGAGCUACCGACAUAUGACCCACUCACCAAAUAUUUUUUUCACAUAUUCUCUAUGUCAAGCAAUGGGAAACUAGUCGCAGCUGAUGGUUCUUUGACCACUGUAGCAGGUAUAGGAGAUGUCAAAAAAAGCUCCAUCACUGACCUUAAAAAAUAUUCUCCAUGUCCCUAGACUAUUCACAUAUCUUGUCUCUAUACAAAAACCCACUCAAGAUUUACGUUGUAAUGUGGUUUUUCAUCAUAGUUGUCAUGUAUUUCAGGACGAGGAUUCGGGGAAGAUGAUUGGACAUGCUAGAGAACGGAAUGCACUCUACAACCUUGAAUCACCGAGCCAGUCAAGCAUUAUCAAGGGCAAAUUACCUCAUUCUUUUGUUUCAGAGUCUUUUUCAUCCAAUAAAGAGAAAGUUUGGCUUCACCCUCGCCGACUUGACAUCCGUCAUUUAGGGUUAUUAAAAUUCUAUUUCCUUCUUUAUUUAAGGGUCUAGAUGUCGCAAAUUUUCAUUGUAAAUUGUGCAAACUCGUUAUACACAAACUGUGUAUCUUUUCCAGUUAGUAAUAAAAGAACUUCUAUUCCUUUUUAUCUCAUUCACAGUGAGAUUUGGGGUUCUUCUACUAUUUGUCAUGUUUCUUGGGCAAGAUGGUUUGUUUCAUUUUUUGAUAAUUGUACUUGUGUUACUUGGAUUUUUUUGCUCAAACAUAAAUCUGAUGUUGGUACCAUUUUUCCAAAUUUUUGUUCCGUGAUUAAGAAUAAAUUUGGGGUCAAUAUCAAAAGGUUUAGAUCGGAUAAUGCUAGGGAUUAUUUCAAUCAAUUGCCGUCUUCAUACUUUCAGAAGGAAGGGAUAGUACAUGAGUCAUCUUGUGUUAGUACCCCACAGUAAAACGGAGUAGCAGAAAGAAAAGAUAGACACCUUCUUGUAUUAACCCAAGCCUUCAUGUUUCAGAGAAAUGUACCUAAACCCUUUUGGGAAGAGGCAAUUCUUAGAAGUUACAACCAUGCAUCUUAUAAAUCAUUUACCUUCUAAAAUCUUGGGAUUCAAGAGUCUAAUGGAAAUACUCUCAACAGUCUAUCCUAAUAUACACACUACAAAUAAUCUUCUCUCUAGGAUAUUUGGGUGCAUAUCAUUUGUCCAUGUCCAUAGUCAAAAUAGGGGAAAGUUGGAUCCUAGAGUGUUAAAAUGUGUCUUUGUGGGUUAUUCACGGCUCCUUAUCUUCAGUGGGAGAAUUCAACAAUGUAAGAUAAGGAUAGUUUUUUGCUUGAUCUACAGUCACUUCCUCAUUCCACUAUGCCAAAUCAUGUGUCUCCUAUGUCUGAACAUGUGCCCGAAAAUCCCCAUACAAAGAGAGACUUUGCUCUUGAAAAUGUAAGAUUUGGUAAGGGCAAGGUGUUUUCGAGGAAGGAGAAUUUGUUCAGUCUCACUCUUUUUGUAGAUAAGGGAAAAAACAUUUGUCACAACAAUUAUCUGUUUCAUGCCUGAAUUAAUAAAGCGAAAGAUUUAGGAUGUUUAGAGACAAGGUUAAUCCUUUAAAUUAAAUUUUUUUAUUUUAAACUUCAACUUGCAAAUUAGGUUCUGUAUUCUAAAGCACAAAGCUUAUUCCCGUCUUUUGGUUCACAAAAAUAUUUCAAUAACUUUUGACUUUGGUUGGUUGUGUAUAAAUUUCUAGUUAAAUUGUACAAUAAUUUAGCGUGCAUGAUUUUUGAGAUUAAUGUUAAUUGAAGAAACGUACUUUGUAGUUGACUAAGUGUUCAGAUUGAAAUGUUGUUUUUGGUAAAAAAGAUGGCGAUAAAAGGGGUGAGAUGUCUUUGCAGAAUGCAUUCCUUUCUUUGGUGCCUCCUCGUAACUAGUUCAAUAACACGAACAUGUUGGUGAAUGUUUCCAAUGUUUCAUCUUUCCUCCAACAGUUAUUCUACUUUACUGUGCUCCAAUUCAUGUAAUUACUUAUUUUCAAGGCUUGUAAUGUAAUUAAGUGCUGCUUUUUAAUAACUCUUGUCAUCUUCAAACAACCUAUCUCAUUUAAUUUUCUGUAUAAUUUUCAAAUACAAUCCAACCUUUCAAAUGCACUGUGAGAUUACAUGGUAUGCUUAACUAUUAGUUUUUGGUUUAAGAGUUGUUUCUUUUCUUAGCAGAUAUGCCGCCCAAGCUUAUGCAAGACUCUUAGGUCUCCAUUGUCAAAUCUCAAUCCUGGUUGGUUCCUUGAUUGAUUAAAUUUUUGUAUGUAAUUUAGUUCGGUUUAACUAGCACAUUUUUCACUAUGAUUUUUUCAUUUCAACUGAGACAAUUCAAUGAAUUUUGGACAUUAUUUUCUACAUACAAAAUUAAAAACACUUUUUAUUUUAUUUAUUUUAUUUUAUUUUAUCUUAUUUUAUUUCAUUUUUUUACGAUUUAAAGUAUGUCUUAUGUGCUUGGAAAUAAUGUUUCAACCCAAGAACAUCCAUUUGAAGCACAAAAAUUGCACAAGCAAAAAUAAACUUCAAUGCUCACAAAUUUCAUAUUACUAUGUUCAGAAUUAAAAUCUAAUCUUAGAAGCCAUUUAAGUGGCAGAUAAUAUGAUACAAAGCAGAGAAAAUUCAAUUGUUAGUUCCGGUUUCAACUAAACUAGAUAGUAAUUUAAGUCGGAUUUCUCAAAUCCUGUUAAGUGCACGAAAGAACUGAAAAUGGGUAAUCAGAUUUUUUUAUCCGAGUCAUUUUCACUUAUGGAAACCUGCUUCUUGAGUAAUGGGUCGUUUUCACCAUAUUCAUUCUAUCCAUGGUAAGCUCAUGCUUUCUUAUCGGUUUUAAUUAUUCAAUCUAUUCUCUCAGUUAAAAGAAUAUUAAACCAUUAAGAAUACAUCUUCCAUGGCACAAGAAAUAGAACCUUAGUCAAUUAUAAUCACCAAAUCCUAUGAAAAAUGGCGGAAUGCUCUCCCAUCGGGUGGUGGAAACCGAUGAGGCUGUCUAUUAUGGUUGUGACUUAUUGUGAAUAUCGCUUCAUUUGAGCUUUAAAUUUAGUGUCCCUUAUUUGUUACAUAAUUUAGGGCUUGAUCGAGUUUAAGUAGUCAUUCUUGAAGUUCACUUCAAAUUUUAUCUUUUCAAGAUAUUCCUUUCGUUCCAUUUACCUUAAAUUUUUCUUUUUGGGUUUAAUUUGUACUACUCACUCUUUUUGGUAGAUAAGGGAAAGGGUACAUUUGACACGAAAGUUCUCUGUUUUAUGCAGGGAUUAGCAAGGCAAAAGAUUAAGGAUGUUCAGAGACAAAAGUUACUUUUUUAAAUAGGUAUGUUUGAUUUUCAACUUCAAUUCUGCAAAAAAAGGUGCUAUAUUCUAAUGCAAGAGACUUAUACCAGUGUUUUGGUUCAAAAUAACAUUUCAAAUAAAAAAUCGAAUAUUGUUACAUUUUACAAUUAACAUAAGCACUCAAACUGUACACAGCAAAAAUGAACUCCAACGCAUGCAUAUCGCACACACAUUUAUAUACAGAAAACAUUAAUGAAUAAUCACAUAAUAUAGUGUGAAAGUUCUUUCAAAAUACCAAACCCAGUCAGUUGGUGAUAGUAUCAAAAGACGUCCAAAGAGGCAGUAUCCAUCUGGGGUGGGGAGUAAGGAGGCUCUGUAGAAGAAUAGCAUAGCCCUAGAUAAAACUGUUGCUCUCUCAGCUUCACAAAAUCCAACAAAAAGAGGCACAUGGAUAGGCGGAAGGGGAACAUUGUGGAAGUCAGAAACCAAACAACAACAGUAAGCAGGGCGAUCCAUAAAUUUUCUUCUGGAAAUUAUCUAAAAGGCUAUUUGGGAGAUGAAAGAGUUAUUUCUGCCAGUGACAAGUCCACAAGCACAAAGAAGUGGUCUCAGUCUAAACUUUUCACCAUGCUGAUGGAAAAGUAACAACAAAAAUCUUUGUGAAGCUACACCUGUGGAACAUUGCUGUUGAAUUGGAAUUUGUAAAUAAUGUUAGAUUUUGUAUUGCCUAUUUUGUGAACAAAAGGGUAAACGUGUAAAUGCUCAAAAGUUUGGGGUCAAUUUGUCAAUUAUUAAAGGUUAGGGCUCAUUGUGUACAUGUGUAAAAGAUGAGAGACUCAGUUGCAAUUUUGGCAAAGUGUGCUAGGGUUCGAUCUAUGAAGUAGGGCAAGAUGUGUUGUCGAAGUUUCGCUAGCUGCUCACCAAGUGGUUGCUCGAGCGACAAAAAUAGAAUGGUCGUCUCUUGCUUCUCUCCCCCACUUCGCUUGAGCGAAACAACGUCUCUCGCUAGUCGCUCGAGCGACAGUGUUACCCAUAAACCCUAUUUUCCUUUUUUUCGACAUUUUAACCCGACCAGAAAUACCAAAAAAAUAUAUACAUGAGAAAAACUGCGCCGAAUUCAGAUAGUGCUUUGAAGGUAUUGAAAUUGAGCACAACUUUCCUAAACUUCAAGUUUCUCAUUCAAUCCUAUAUUUGAUUUGAUCAAAUCAACAUUCAUCAAACACCACAACACAAUCUUCUAGUGCCUUUGUUGAUUCUUGGAGAUCGAGGAAGGAGAUCGGAGUCUCGAUCAUUAGAGAACAGGCAGUUCUCUUGAAUCCACAAGAGAUAAACAAAAUUAAGACUUGGGAAUUGGUGUAGCACGCAAUCUAGGAGGGCUAGGUACCGGGAGUUGGUGCAGGAUCACACAUUCCAGGAAGGGCUUGAGGAAACUAUGGUCAGGAUGUCAGAAAAACCAGUGUAGGUUGAGUCUGGAUGAUUGUAAGUUUCAUUUACGUUUAUAGUGGAUUCCUACUGGCUUGGGCCAGGAGUUUUACCCACAUUGGGGUUUCUCCGUUAUCAAACAAUUGUGUUAUUUAUAUUUCUAUAAUUAAUUUAUGAUCGGUAUUCAAACAUAGGAUAGUAAAGCAUGUGAACUGAUUUGGACAAAUUAAUUUUUGUGACGUGUUGCAAUAAUUAAUUGAUUCAAAAAAAAAUUCCACAUAAACACCUCUUCACCCCCCUCUAGGUGUUGAUUGGGUCAAACUACGUUAUUUCAAGUGGUAUCAGAGCCAAAAAUCGAGUCCUGACCCAUUGUUGUCUAGAUGAGUCAAUCACUGUAUGUGCCUCCGUAUUUUGACGGAAGCAACUAUUCCUACUGGAAGAUUAGGAUGCGUGCUUUUCUUAAGUCCUUAGAUGAACGUGUUUGGAUGAGCGUACAAAAUGGUUGGAAAUCCCCUUCUACAACUGUGCCAGGUGUUGUCAAUCUAACUGAUAUUUCACUUUGGACUAAGGAAGAGUUAGCCGAUUGCAAUUGGAUGCCUUGUUUAUGUCCGUGUCUCCCGAAGAAUUUAAGAGAGUAUCAAUGUGUGAAACUGCUAAAGAGGUAUGGGACAUUCUAGAAACUACGCAUGAGGGGACUAAAACUGUAAAAAAAUUCAAAAUUGCAAAUGCUAACCUCAAGGUUUGAAGAGAUCAGGAUGAAGGAUGAUGAAUCUUUUGAUGAGUUCUAUGCCAAAUUGAAUGACAUUGUUAACUCUAGCUUCAACCUAGGUGAGAGGAUUUUCGAGCCCAAAAUUGUGAGAAAGGUUCUUAGAUCCUUGCCCGAGAGAUUUAGACCUAAAGUUAUAGCUAUUGAAGAAAGCAAGGAUCUGGAUACAAUUAAGAUAGAAGAACUCGUAGGAUCCCUUCAAACCUAUGAACUCACCAUUUCACAACCAAGAAAGAACAAGUCCAUAGCCCUGAACACUGUUAGGGAAGGAGAGUUUGAAUCAUCUGACAUGGAAACUCUUAGAGAUGAGGAGAUUGCCUGUUUUGUGAAAAAAUUUCAAAAAGUCUUAAAGGGCAAAAAAUGGCCUCAAGAGAAAAGGAGAGGAGCCCCUAGCAAAUUGCCAAGAGAGAAAGAUGAUAAAUCAACUGCUGGGAACCCUGGUAAGAAAUCUCAAGGGGUUAGGUAUCAUGAGUGUCAGGGAUUUGGGCACUAUAGAAAUGAAUGUUCUAUCUUUAAGAAAAAUCUAAAGAAGGGGAAUAGGAAGGCAUUAACUGUGUCCUUGACUGACGAUGAUUCUAAUUUAAGUGAACAAAGUGAUUCCUCAAGCAGUGAGGAUGAAAAGGGCUAUAUGGCUUUUGUAUUUACCAUCAAGAACGAGUUAGACAAGGAGAGUGAGAAGGUUGAGGAGGAAGUGGAGAGUAGCAAGUCCGGUGAUGAUUCGAAGGAUGAGACGGAUAUACAUGAGACUUAUCAACUCCUGUUUAAGGAGAGUCUCAAGAUCAAAAAGGUAAAUAAAGCCCUUUUUAAGAAGGUAGACGAGAUUGAGAGAGAGAAGGAGAAAAUCACCGAUGAUCUUCAAAUCUCAUCUAAGAGUCUAAGUGAGUUGAAGUGUGUCAAUGAGAGAUUAGAGGACAGGGUCAAGACAUUGANNNNNNNNNNNNNNNNNNNNNNNNNNNNNNNNNNNNNNNNNNNNNNNNNNNNNNNNNNNNNNNNNNNNNNNNNNNNNNNNNNNNNNNNNNNNNNNNNNNNNNNNNNNNNNNNNNNNNNNNNNNNNNNNNNNNNNNNNNNNNNNNNNNNNNNNNNNNNNNNNNNNNNNNNNNNNNNNNNNNNNNNNNNNNNNNNNNNNNNNNNNNNNNNNNNNNNNNNNNNNNNNNNNNNNNNNNNNNNNNNNNNNNNNNNNNNNNNNNNNNNNNNNNNNNNNNNNNNNNNNNNNNNNNNNNNNNNNNNNNNNNNNNNNNNNNNNNNNNNNNNNNNNNNNNNNNNNNNNNNNNNNNNNNNNNNNNNNNNNNNNNNNNNNNNNNNNNNNNNNNNNNNNNNNNNNNNNNNNNNNNNNNNNNNNNNNNNNNNNNNNNNNNNNNNNNNNNNNNNNNNNNNNNNNNNNNNNNNNNNNNNNNNNNNNNNNNNNNNNNNNNNNNNNNNNNNNNNNNNNNNNNNNNNNNNNNNNNNNNNNNNNNNNNNNNNNNNNNNNNNNNNNNNNNNNNNNNNNNNNNNNNNNNNNNNNNNNNNNNNNNNNNNNNNNNNNNNNNNNNNNNNNNNNNNNNNNNNNNNNNNNNNNNNNNNNNNNNNNNNNNNNNNNNNNNNNNNNNNNNNNNNNNNNNNNNNNNNNNNNNNNNNNNNNNNNNNNNNNNNNNNNNNNNNNNNNNNNNNNNNNNNNNNNNNNNNNNNNNNNNNNNNNNNNNNNNNNNNNNNNNNNNNNNNNNNNNNNNNNNNNNNNNNNNNNNNNNNNNNNNNNNNNNNNNNNNNNNNNNNNNNNNNNNNNNNNNNNNNNNNNNNNNNNNNNNNNNNNNNNNNNNNNNNNNNNNNNNNNNNNNNNNNNNNNNNNNNNNNNNNNNNNNNNNNNNNNNNNNNNNNNNNNNNNNNNNNNNNNNNNNNNNNNNNNNNNNNNNNNNNNNNNNNNNNNNNNNNNNNNNNNNNNNNNNNNNNNNNNNNNNNNNNNNNNNNNNNNNNNNNNNNNNNNNNNNNNNNNNNNNNNNNNNNNNNNNNNNNNNNNNNNNNNNNNNNNNNNNNNNNNNNNNNNNNNNNNNNNNNNNNNNNNNNNNNNNNNNNNNNNNNNNNNNNNNNNNNNNNNNNNNNNNNNNNNNNNNNNNNNNNNNNNNNNNNNNNNNNNNNNNNNNNNNNNNNNNNNNNNNNNUCAAAGAAAGAAUGCUGUGUGUAAGCCGUGUCAUCAAGGAAAGCAACUCAGGAUAAACCAUAAGCGAACCUCGAAAAUCUUGACGAAUAGACCCCUAUAGCUUCUCCAUAUGGAUUUAAUGGGACCAUCUAGGGUAGAGAGUUUAGGAGGCAAACGGUAUAUCCUGGCUGUGGUAGAUGAUUUUUCUAGAUUCAUCUGGAUUGAUCUGUUAAGAGAAAAUUCUAAACGGGUGAUCUGGUUAAGUCCUAAUGCAAAAGACUCAAAGUUGAACAAAAUCUUCCUAUUUCUAGGGUUCAAAGUGAUCAUGGAAAAGAAUUUGAAAACUUCAAUCUAGAAAACUUCUGCUUGGAGGAGGGGAUUAAGCAUGAGUUCUUCUCACUAAUCACGCCACAACAAAAUGGAGUUGUUAAGAGGAAGAAUAGAGUGCUUCAAGAAAUGGCAAGGGCCAUGCUUUACAGCAAGGAUCUAGCAAUGCAUUUCUGGGGUGAAGUUAUUAACACCGCGUGCCAUAUAAUAAAUAGGGUAUACCUGAGACCAAAAUCAGACAAGACUCCCUAUGAGAUCUGGAAAGGCAAGAAGCCUACUGUUAAAUACUUUCGGGUGUUUGGCAGCAAAUGUUACAUUCUGGGGGAUAGAGAAAAUCUAGGCAAGUUUGAUUCCAAAACUGAUGAUGAGAUUUUUCUAGGAUAUUCUAAGAACAGUAGAGCAUACAGAGUUUACAUAUUGCGUAUUCAGAAUGUCUUGAAAUCUGUAAAUGUUGUUAUUGAUGAUGCCUUUACUGAGGGGGAGAGUGCUGAAAAUGGUGUUGACAUAGAAGAUCUAAGUGAAGAUCAAGGAGCCACUGCUGAAAAUAAAGAGCACUCAAUCCCAAAAUCUCCACGAUCCUCAGAAAACAUAUCUGAGUAGGGUUUACCAAAUUGGAAUCAGUCUAGGCUUUCUAGAGAACCAUCUUCAAGGGUCAAAUCUAAUCAUCCUAAUGUUAACAUCAUUGGGGAUUCGGAUGAAGGAAUGAGGUUACGAAGGAGAGUUCUAAAUAACCUAACGUAUACUAGCUAUGUAUCCCAGAUUGAACCUAAGAAAGUAGAAGAAGCCCUUAGAGAUGAAUGCUGGGUGAAUGCCAUGCAUGAGGAGCUUAAUCAAUUCGUUCGAAAUAAUGUUUGGAACCUAGUUCCUAGGCCUGAUGAUUCUAAUGUGAUAGGUACUAAGUGGAUUUUCAAGAACAAAAUUGAUGACCAAGGUACUAUAACUAGGAAUAAGGCUAGACUAGUUGCCCAGGGGUACACUCAGCUGGAAGGGGUAGAUUUUGAUGAGACUUUUGCCUCAGUUGCUCGUCUUGAGUCCAUUCGUAUUCUUCUUGUAGUUGCAUAUACCUUAAGGUUCAAGCUAUAUCAAAUGGAUGUCAAGAGUGCAUUCUUGAAUGGAAUACUCCAAGAAGAGGCGUAUGUUGAACAGCCGAAAGGAUUCAUUGACCCUAAGUUUCCUCAUUAUGUCUACAAACUAAAUAAAGCACUGUAUGGUCUGAAACAAGCUCCUAGAGCUUGGUAUGACAGACUCACUACUUACCUCGUUGAGCAUGGGUUCUCACGAGUUGGUGCUAACAGAACCUUAUUCAUUAGACAUAUGAAAGAAACUAUCAUUGUAGCUCAUAUCUAUGUCGAUGACAUCAUCUUUGACUCUCCCAUUGACUCCCUUGCUCUUGAAUUUGCUGAAUGCAUGAAACAAGAACUUGAAACGACUAUGGUUGAGGAGCUAAGUUACUUCCUUGGUCUUCAAGUAAAGCAAACUGAUUGUGGGCUGUUUAUCUCUCAAUCAAAAUAUGCCAAAGACCUUGUGAAGAGAUUUGGUUUGGACAGUAAGAAACACACAAGGACACCCAUGAGCACAAAUGUUAAGUUAGGACAUGAUCCUACAAGUAAGAGUGUUGAUCAGACUAUGUAUAGGAGCAUGAUAGGCAGUUUACUAUAUCUUACUGCCAGUAGACCUGACAUUACGUUUAGUGUUGGUGUAUGUGCUAGAUUUCAAGCUGAUCCUAAGGAGUCCCAUCUAAGUGCAGUGAGGCGCAUUAUUAGAUAUGUCAAUAGGACAGUAGAUCAUGGGAUCUUGUAUUCCAGAGAGUCCAAUCUAGAACUAGCCAGCUAUUCUGAUGCCGAUUGGGCCGAAAACGUCGACGAUAGAAAAAGUACCUCGGUGGAUGUUUCUGAGUGACUAUGGGAUAAAUCAUGGUAAUAUGAUUGUUUUCUGUGACAAUACUAGUGCUAUCAAAAAAUCCGGUUCAGCAUUCUAGGACCAAACACAUUGACAUUCGCCAUCACAUUAUUUGUGAACUAGUUGAGUCCAAUGUCAUUUCUCUUGAACACAUCUCUACUGAAAAUCAACUUACCGAUCUAUUCACUAAACCUCUAGAUGAGUUUAGAUUCGAGUUACUUAGGAAGGCUGUUGACAUCUGUGUUCCUCCCUAAUCGUCUUCAAAGAUGCAUGCAUUUCUUUUCAUUCAUUACGUUACCUCUAUGUGUUCAUUUGCAUUUUUUAAAAAAAGGGGGGAGAUUGAUCAUCACAUGUCAUUUUUGCUUUGUAGUUGUUCCCUCGGAGUUGCAAUUUGAAAUCAAAUGUGCAUUCUACACAUGAUUAGUUUGUAAUUCCCGUCACCUAUCCUGAGUCUGUAUGGAGUACUUAGUAUAUGUCACUUCAUAUUAUAUUUGCACAACACAGACUAGGACCGUGUGAGUGAGUCUUGACUGCAUGUGUAAGAUUUGGGAUGGCUAUCAUCUGUCUUUGAGUAGACACUGGGUUUGAAUUGAUCUUGGACUAGAUGAUCUAACUUCUGGUGUACCCCCAUGUGUUUCCACAGAGUAUUUAUUAUAUCACAUUUUAUAUCUAUCUUCGGAGCCUAGAUGACUCGAGCAAUUAAGUUUGAGGGGUUUCUCAUAACCUGGUGCCCUAAAACCAACUGGUUUGGGAGUCGUUGACCCAAUGCUCAUUACAAGGAUUUUCUUAGUAGCUUAAUGGAGAUGGGAUUGCACGUAAGAUUAAAAAAAAAUUGAGGUCUUUAACAAUAGGGGGAGAAAGAACAGUUUUACACCAUAUUUUAACGAAGUAUAGGUCCUAGUGGCAUUGGAUUUGACCUUCACACAUCUAAGUGUUGACUCCUACGUCGGUGAUUUGGCUGUCUCUUCUCACAAAUUUAAGGUUUGAGUCUUACUUGCUUGGAAUGAGUGGCACAUUUCACGAGGGGUCACAUAUACAAUUUACUCCAUUUGUACUUGGUUCGGUGUGUGGGUAACCAUUUUCUAAUCAUUGUGCGUGCCGUAUUUGUGAUCUAUUGCCUUUGAUUGGACCAAUUGCCUCUGCAUUGUUCAUGCAUUUUAAAUUAAAAACAAUAAAAUUUUGGGGUCUAAAUUCAAUUUUCUGAAAAAUGUGCUAUUUUUGAAAGUUUCUGAAGUACUGUUACUUUGCUAAAUUUUAAACCUGGGACAAACUUUUCAACUUUUCAAGUUUAGGUGCUAUUUUUGUCAUUUCCCUGUCACUCAGUCGAGCGACAGAAGCAGUGUCUUUGUCGCUCGUUGUUCUAGCGAAACCUAGGGCUGGGCAAAUCUCCUGAAUCGAACCGACUGAACCGAACUAAACUGAACCCGAUGGUUCUUGUCAAAUUAAAUACCCGAACGAGUAUCUGAAUUGAAAAUCGACGGGUACGGUUCGGUUCUCGGUUCUAGACUAAGAACCGAAGAACCGAAUAAGAACCGGAUCUUUCUAAUUUUUUUUUAUAUUGAGUAAAUCAAAUUAUUAUAAUUUUAAUUCUUUCUAAACAAAUUAACAAUUUCUAAAUCCAAAUUUUUGGUCCAAUAAUUUGUUUCAUUUCUAAUUUUUUAAUUUUCGGCCCAAUUACCUAUUUUAUUGUUUCAUUUCUUAGCUCAACAAGAUCCAAUCUACUAAAUAACUCUAAACACUUACACUAAAGUGCAUAACAUUGUCUCAACCCUCGCACUCACACUCGCAGCCUCGCUAACCUUCCAAAACCUAUACAGUCGUCGGCCAACGCCGUGACCUCCGUCGACCGAUGCUUUGACCAUAGUGAUCAUUUGAACAAGGCACUUGUCUCUGACAUUCUAAAACCAUUGAAUGUAUCAUUAGUUGUAUUUAUAUAAUUGUAUAAUGUUGUUAUAAAUGUUAAAAUUUUUAAUUAUAGUACAGAACCGAACGGAAUCGAACCGAACUGAACCGAACGAAAUCGAACCCGAAUGGUUCCAUAAUUAUAUUUGGACCCGACGGGUCCAUUUAUUAGAUACCCGAGAAUCUUGGUUCGGUUCGGUUCUCUUUAGAAUCGAACCAAACCGACCCGCGCCCACCCCUAGCGAAACCUUUUAUUUUCUUACGCCCUUCUGCCUCUUUUUUUAUUUUCAUUUCUUCCUUUUCUCUCUCAUUUUUUUCUCUCAACUCGACACUCCUUGGUCGAUUUGCCAUUGAUUUCUCCCAUGUGGAGCUUCUACUCUCAUUCCUUGUGCGCUUAACUUGGUGAUUCAUUCCUCCCUUUUUUGGUAAGUGCCUUGCAUUUUCGUUUGGUUGUUGUUUUUUAUUUGUUUUUCUUUUCGCCAUUUGGUUUCUUUGGACUUGGGUGUUUUGUUGGUGUGCUAGGUAGAUGGUGGUGUUAUGGGGUGUUGGGUGUCUCUUGCAUGCUUACAUUUGUCGCUUCUACUUCUUGUGCAUACAAUGUGUUCGAUGAAACGUCUCCUCACCACAGACUUGAUUCUCUUCUCCAUUGUGUGCCAUUUCUCAUGUGUGAUUGGUGUCUUAGGUACUAAACAUUUGAGUUCAUUAGUUAUUUGACCUUAUUUCCUAUAACAUGAUGUGCACGCUUCACCUAUUAAGUCAUCAAACUUCACACAAAUCACCUACCAAUUCGGUGCUUACACCUCUCUGUUAUUGCAUGUACUACGUUUGGAGGAUUGUUUGACAUAGGACUCAUCAAUUCUCCAUUUCUAUUGGAAGUUUUUAUGUGUGUCGCAAUUUCAUCUUGAUCUUGUUUAUGUCUAGUUUACGUCCCAUCCGUGUUGCUCAUAGUCCACGGGCUUGUGUGUGAUUUCCCUUUAGGGCUUGUCUAGUCAUGUGUCUCCUUCACUUCGUUUUCCUUGGGGAUUGCCUUAUCUUCUACAUCUCGCAUUGUCGAUGGCACCUAAGAGGGCUAGGACCACAGCUCAGCCUAGCAGUGGAUUGGGUUCGUUUAGUCGUACUCGAUUCAUUUCCUCUACUGCUCAAGAAGUCUUUGGGAGCCAGUUUUCCCGUCGUCCUGUCCUAGUCGAGCGCGAGGUUACUCUGUCCGAUCUAUCACCUGAUGUGGCAGCUAUCUUUACUUCUCGGGGUUGGGAAUCCUUACUGAUUGGGUUAAAUCCCCCGCCUAGUCUUCUUAUUCAGGAGUUCUAUGUAAACAUUCAUAACAUUAGUGGUUCGUCCUUCUGGGUGUUCCUCUGGGGUCAUACCCUUAGGAUUUCCCCUGAUGUUAUUUCUAGCUCCAUACAUGUUCCCCGGGUCAUUCAUCCCGUUUACCCCUAUCUCUUGGCUGAUUCCAUUCCGGCCGAUUCUCUGGUUCGGUCCACCUUGUUUAACAGCCCUUUGGGGGGUGGGCCUGAGGCGAUCCGCACUGGUUCGCUCCCCACCGAUAGGCAAAUUUUGUUACACAUUGUGUGUACAAAUUUGUGGCCCGUCUCCCAUACUUCUUCCCUACCUAUGGACAAGGUGAGGUUUCUUUUUGCUUUACUACAUGGGGAUUCGAUUGACCUACCUACCUUCAUUUGCCAACACAUUCUGCAUACCUUUCGCACUUCCGAUCAUUGGAUUGGUUUGUCGUAUGGUUGCUUGAUCCACCGCUUGGUGACAUCACUUGGGGCUUCCUUUCCCGAUGGAGUCUCACGACGAGUGCUUCGUCCCAUAGGGCACACUACCAUCUCUCAAAGUAGGUCACGUGUCACCUCUUCUGCCUCUACCUUUGCUGAGCCUAUCGACCCGACAGUGCCUGCUGAUCCUUUGGGUGAUUUACUUGCUGAUCUCUUAGCUAUUCCUCCGCCUCCUUCCGAGGUUCCUCCUUCCACUUCAGAUAUUCCCUUUUCCUCCACUUCUAUUCCGCCACUCGACCAGCCUGCUCCGGCUACUGUUCCUGUUGACCUCACUGUCGUACUUAUGGGUCAGAUGUCGAUUCUCAUUGAACAGCAGGCCCACAUGAUGGCUGACAUUACUCAGUUAAGAGCUGCUUUCGAGCAUCAGACUGCGGAGUUUGCUACAUUGCGUGGGGCUAUUGCUCUUGUUCAGUGCGGUAUUCGGUGGAUGCGCGAGCACUGGGAUUAUGAAUCUGAUGUUGAGGAUUCUGAGGGCGUGGAUGGCAGAGAUGAUGGUCCUGAGUUCCCCUUGCCAUUUGCAAUAAAAAGGGGGAGUGUUUUUGGGAUUUAUAUUGAUAAUGUAUUAUAAUGAUAAUGUACUAUUGAUAUUUUUGGCUGGAUUAUGUAUUGAUGCUUUGCACUAUUGAUGUAUGUUUUUGGUUGUUUGACUUACAUUGAUAUUAAUAUUAUCUCUUAAUCUAGCAUAUUCGUACAAUGUUAUGGCUGUUCAUAACUCUUUACCUUUUUUAUGUACUUAUGUUACCGUUUCUCGUGCUUUUACACUGGGUAUGUGAGUUGUGAUUUCAGGAGACAGCUUGAGAGAUGACAAGGCAACAAUGAGUUGAGUCUAUGUAUUGGAUUAUCAUUGCUGCUGUAACUUGCUUUUGUCACAGAAUGCCAAAGGGGGAGUUUGUUAGAUUUUGUGUUGGCUAUUCUGUGAACAAAAGGGUAAAAGUGUAAAUGCUCAAAAGUUUGGGGUCAAUUUAUCAAUUAUUAAAGGUUAGGGGUCAUUGUGUACAUGUGUAAAAGAUGAGGGACUCAGUUGCAAUUUUUGCAAAGUGUGCAAGGGUUCGAUCUAGAAGUAGGACAAGAUGUGUCGUCAAAGUUUUGCAAACUGCUGGCCAAGUGGUCGCUCGAGCGACAAAAACAGAAUGGUCGUCGCUCGCUUCUCGCCCCCACUUUACUCGAGCGAAACGACGUCGCUCGCUUGUCACUCGAGCGACAGUGUUAUCCAUAAAACCCUAUUUUCCUAUUUUCGACAUUUUAACCCGACUAGAAAUACCAAAAAGAUAUAUACAUGAGAAAAACUGCGCCGAAUUCAGAUAGUGCUUUGAAGGUAUUGAAAUUGAGCACAACUCUCCUACACUUCAACUUUCUCAUUCAAUCCAAUAUUUGAUAUGAUCAAUUACAUGAAAAAGAUCAAAUCAACAUUCAUCAAAUACCACAACACAAUCUUCUAGUGCCUUUGUUGACUCUUGGAGAUCGAGGAAGGAGAUCGAAGUCCCGAUCAUUAGAGAACAGGUGGUUCUCUUGAAUCCACAAGAGAUAAACAAAAUCAAGACUUGGGAAUUGGUGUAGCACGCAGUCCAGGAGGGCUAGGUGCUGAGAGUUGGUGCAGGAUCACACAUUCCAGGAAGGGCUUGAGGAAACUAUGGUCAGGAUAUUAGAAAAACCAGUGUAGGUUGAGUCUGGUUGAUUGUAAGUUUUAUUUACAUUUAUAAUUGAUUCCUACUGGCUUGGGCCCGGAGUUUUACUCACAUUGAGGUUUCUCCAUCAUCAAACAAUUGUGUUAUUUAUAUUUCUGCAAUUAUUUUAUGACCGGUAUUCAAACAUAGGAUAGUAAAGCAUGUGAACUGAUCUGGACAAAUUAAUUUUUGUGACGUGUUGCAAUAAUUAAUUGAUUGAAAAAGAAAAUUCCGCAUAAACACCUAUUCACCCCCUCUAGGUGUUGAUUGGGUCGAACUACGUUAUUUCAAAUAAGAUGAGCAUGAACAUGGAAAAUGAGAAGCCAUGAGUUGUUAAUGCAUUUGAAGAUUAAUAAAAAAAAAAAAAUGUUCUAAGUUUCUUUGUUCCAGUAAGCCUCAAAAUUCUUCCAUGUGUGAUUGCACUGGAAGUUAAAUACAAAUGUUCAAGAAAUUGUGUUGACGAGUCCAUUAUAAUCAACCAACCUUACAUUAAACGACGGAAUGCUCUCCCAUCAUGUUGGUGGAGCCGUGAUCUCUAUCUCAACUUCCAUCCACCAAUGGAGGUUUGACAUGGCCCACUUGCCGUAAUCUCUGACUACUCAUUUUGAAUAUCGCUUCAUUUGAGCUUUAAAUAGAGUGUUUUUUUUUAAUUUGUUACAUGAUUUAGGGUUUGAUCAAGUUUAAAGAGUGAUUCUUAAAGUUCACUUCAAAUUUUAUCUUUUCAAGAUUUACCCUUUGUUCCAAUACCUUAAGUUUUUCUUUUUGGUGUUGAAUUUGUUCAAUCCCGCUCUUUUUUGUAGAUAAAAGAUAUCUUUGUUACAACAGUUACUUGUUUUAUGCAGGGAUAAAUAAGGCAAAAAUUUUAAUAUAUUCAUAGGCAAAAGUUAACUCUUUGAAUUGAAAUUUUUUAUUCUCAACUUCAACUCUAAAAAUCAAGUGCUGUAUUCUAAAGCAAGUCUUAGACCAUGAACUCGGUAAUUAAUCGACAUCAUGAUGCUCCCAUGGACCCUACCUUGUGUGUAUAUCCUAUUUGAGAAGUAUGGGCAGUCUUUUCGAAUGCAAUCACUUUCCAGCUCAAGUGCACGAACAAUGGCAUCAUCUCUACGAGCAUAUUACCCCAACUUCCUAGAUAAAGUAGAUGCAGAAAACUUAGCUUUCUCAAUGCAUGAAUCAUACUCCCUGCAAUGAAAAACUUAUACUCUUUUGACUUUUCGAGAUUAUUCCAGUACCUUAAAGAAUUUCUCUAAGAACUCAAAUCAAAUUAUAUUUGAUACCUAUUGAACUCAAGGAAGUGCUUCACAUCGUUUAUAGCAUCUAAAUAGGGGAUAUUGAUAUUAAUAUUGAGGCCUUUGAAGUUUGGAGCCCAUCCUACCUUUUCUUGAUUAACACACAAGCAUGCAUACUCGAUGAAUAUAUUGGUUUGUACCUUAAACAUGUUCAAAAUUUUGUAGCAUCUUCUAUUAAAAGAAAAAUUACUUAUUCAUACUAUGAACAUGGAAAGAUGAACUUAAAUUGCACUCAUCAACAAAUAAAACCUCUAAUGCACAUGAAUUGCACGAAUUUAUACAUGCAAUGGAUGAGUACUUAUCGUAUUCAUGUUAUUUAUGUGCAAGCAAUUGAAGGAGAUUUAUAUCACAAAACCACUCUCAGGUCCUUGAAUGCUCCAUUUUCCUCAUUACCACCCUUUCAUCCUUCGAAUCAUUUGCAUUUCUCCACAUCCUAGAUUGUCUGUUAGUUGCUCUUACACGAUCCAACACCUCGAAUGAUUCAAUGGAUGCUUGUAAUUCCUAUGCUAAAUCUUAAACUUUGAAAUGUUGAAAUCCUCGUCAAAAUCAUUACUUGCUUCACUAGAAUCAAAAGAACUCGGCAAUUAAUCGACAUUAUGAUGCUCCCAUGGACCUCGCCUCUUGCAUAUAUCCUACUUGAGAAGUAUGGGCUAUCUUUUCGAAUGCAAUCACUUUCUAGCUCAAGUGCAUGAACAAUGGCAUCAUCUUUGCAAGUAUAUUUUCCCAUCUUCUUAGAUGAAGUAGAUGCAGACAACUUAGCUUUCUCAAUGCAUGAAUCAUACUCCCUACAAUAGAAAACUUUUACUCUUUUUGAUGUCUCGAGAUUAUACUAGUACCUUAAAGAAUAUUCUAAAAACUCAUAUCAUAUUAUAUCUGAUACAUAUUGAACUCAAGGAAGUGCAUUACAUAGUUCAAAGUAUCAAAAUAGGGGUUAUUGGUAAUAAUAUUGAGGUGAUUGAAGUUUGGAGCCCAUUCAACCUUUUCUUGAUUAAUACACAAGCAUGGAAACUCGAUGAAUGUAUUGAUUUGUACCUAAACAUGUUCCAAAUUUUGUAGUAUGUUCUGUUAAAUGAAAAAUUACUUAAACAUGCUAAUUUACACUAUGAACAUGGAAAGAUGCACUGUAAUUGCACUCACUCAUCAACAAAUAGAACCUUUAAUACACAUGAAUUGCACGCAUUUAUACAAGCAAUGUAUGAAUACGUAAAUCGUAUUCAUAUUAUUUAUGUACAAGCACUUGAAGGAAACACAAGUAUACUCCUCGAUAUAAGGUAAAAUGAAAAAUUACUUAACAAGCUACUUUAUGCCAUGAACAUGGUAAGAAGAACUCAAAUUGCACAUGGCAACAAAGUAUACCUCUAACACACGUGAAUUGUACUCAUUUAUAAAUGCAACGCAUGAAUAAUUAAUAAAAAGAUGAUCUGAGAGUUGGCUAAACUUUGCCAAAAACUAACUAGUUGAGAUAGCUCAACUUUGUCGUGAAUUUUGUACUCAUCCUUGAUUGCAAAUGCUCUACUAUGGUCAAAUUAGUUAAUUACAAUAACUUCGUUUUCGAUUGCCUCUCAUAUUGGGUGGAAUGAACAAAACUUCUUUUUUCAAUGAGGAAGAUAACUACGCCUAAUUAGUUCAUUCGCCUAUUCAACAAUAAAACGAGCACAAAUAUGACAAUUACUGUCAAAGAGAACCUAUUUCAAUGUGUUUUGAUGUGCAAUCUAGCAUUCAAAAUAUUUUCUUCAAAUUCAGGAUUAGUAAUAAAAGUUGAGAAGUAAUCAAGCAGCUUAUUUGAUCUCCCUUCUCGACUAGGAUCCAACUAGAUUCGGUUAAAAAAUAAAGAAUUAUUAAGAAUUUCGACAACUUUCACAACCACCGAAUUAUACUCCGUAGUACAAAAAGAAAAUAGGCUGAUAUAUCAUUAACAAUUGGCAAACAAAGGCAAAAGAUAUAAGAAAUUUAAGAAGAAUUAAAAAUAAUAGACGAACUUCUAUACAAAAAUAUUUUUCCAAUAAAAAUUAGAACAUUCCAACCUAUUGAGAAUAAUAUAUAUUAUUUAGUUGUAAAGUAAUGUAAACCAAAUGUCCUGAAGAUGCUAUUGUUCUAAAGGACUUCAUAGGGCAAGACAGUCUAUGAUUUUCUUGUGGGACUUAAUCCAGAAUUUGAUCAAGUUAGAAUCUAGAUUCUUGGCAAGCAGGAAGUUCCAUGUUUUGAUGAAGUGGUGGCAUUGAUUCAAGGUGAGGAAAACAGAAGGGGUCUGAUGCUUGAACCACAUAGCACUGACAGCUCUGCUAUGGUGGCUAAUGGUGGCAAUAAUUCAGCCACGCUUGUGGAAAGAACACCAAUUGUUGGAAAUGGAAGACCUGACCAACCAAAAGCUCAGAACUAUGAUUACAAGGAUAGCUUGUGUGCACUUAAUAUAAGAAAGCACGUUAUAAGCGUGAACGGUGUUGGAAGCUUCAUGGAAAACAUCCAAGUCGAGAGUUGGGACAAAAAGGAGAACAGUCAAGAAACCAUGGUCGGGCCCAUGUUGCUGCGAUGCAGCAGAAUGAAGCAGCACCACAGGAGUCAAGUGGUCUCAAUCAAGAAGAGGUCGAAAGAGAGAGAUCUGUUAUUGGCAAUCUUGACAAACCUUCAAAUACUUGUUCAUUGGAGUAUUCAGGUGAGUUUCCAUUCUCUAUUGGAUUAAAUAUCUCGGGUGUAACCUUUGCCAUCUCAUGGGUCAUGGACUCAAGAGCUACCGACAUAUGACCCACUCACCAAAUAUUUUUUUCACAUAUUCCCCAUGUCAAGCAAUAGGAAACUAGUCGUAGCUGAUGGUUCUUUGACCACUGUAGCAGGUAUAGGAGAUGUCAAAAUAAGCCCCAUCACCGACCUUAAAAAAUAUUCUCCAUGUCCCUAGACUAUCCACAAAUCUUUUCUCUAUACAAAAAUUCACUCAAGAUUUACGUUGCAAUGUGGUUUUUCAUCAUAGUUGUCAUGUAUUUCAGGACGAGGAUUUGGGGAAGAUGAUUGGACAUGCUAGAGAACGGGAUACGCUCUACAACCUUAAAUCACCGAGCCAGUCAAGCAUUAUCAAGGGCAAAUUACCUCAUUAUUUUGUUUCAGAGUCUUUUUCAUCCAAUAAAGAGAAAGUUUGGCUUACCCUCACCGACUUGGACAUUCGUCAUUUAGGGUUAUUAAAAUUCUGUUUCCUUCUUUAUUUAAAGGUCUAGAUGUUGCAAAUUUUCAUUGUAAAUUGUGCGAACUUGUUAUACACAAACUGUGUAUCUUUUCCAGUUAGUAAUAAAAGAACUUCUAUUCCUUUUUAUCUCAUUCACAGUGAGAUUUGGGGUUCUUCUACUAUUUGUCAUGUUUCUUGGGCAAGAUGGUUUGUUUCAUUUAUUGAUAAUUGUACUCGUGUCACUUAGAUUUUUUUGCUCAAACAUAAAUCUGAUGUUAGUACCAUUUUUCCAAAUUUUUGUUCCAUGAUUAAGAAUCAAUUUGGGGUUAAUAUCAAAAGGUUUUGAUUGGAUAAUGCUAGGGAUUAUUUCAAUCAAUUGCCAUCUUCGUACUUUUAGAAGGAAGGGAUAGUACAUGAGUCAUCUUGUGUUAGUACCCACAGUAAAACGGAGUAGCAGAAAAAAAUAGACACCUUCUUGUAUUAACCCAAGCCUUCAUGUUCCAGAGAAAUGUACCUAAAUCCUUUUGGGAAGAGGCAGUUCUUAUAAGUUACAAUCAUACAUCUUAUAAAUCGUUUACCUUCCAGAAUCUUGGGAUUCAAGAGUCCAAUGGAAAUACUCUCAACAUUCUAUCUUAAUAUACAUACUACAAAUAAUCUUAUCUCUAGGAUAUUUGGGUGCAUAUCAUUUGUCCAUGUCCAUAGUCAAAAUAGGGGAAAGUUGGAUCCUAGGGUGUUAAAAUGUGUUUUGUGGGUUAUUCACAGCUCCUUAUCUUCAGUGGGAGAAUUCAACAAUGGAAGAUAAGGAUAGAUUUUUGCUUGAUCUAUCGUCACUUCCUCAUUCCACUAUGUUGAAUCCUGUGUCUCCUAUGUCUGAACAUGUGCCCGAAAAUCCCCAUACAAAGACGGACUUUGCUCUUGAAAAUGUAAGAUUUGGUAAGGGCAAGGUGUUUUCGAGGAAGGAGAAUUUGGUCAGUCUCACUCUUUUUGUGGAUAAGGGAAAAAAACAUUUGUCACAACAAUUAUAUGUUUUAUGCAGGGAUUAAUAAAGCGAAAGAUUUACGAUGUUUAGAGGCAAAGGUUAAUCCUUUAAAUUAAAUUUUUUUAUUUUCAACUUCAACUUGCAAAUUAGGUUCUGUAUUCUAAAGCACAAGGCUUCUUCCCGUCUUUUGGUUCACAAAAAUAUUUCAAUAACUUUUGACUUUGGUUGGUUGUGAAUAAAUUUCUAGUUAAAUUGUACAAUAAUUUAGUGUGCAUGAUUUUUGAGAUUAAUGUUAGUUGAAGAAGCGUACUUUGUAGUUGACUAAGUGUUUAGAUUGGAAUGUUGUUUUUGGUAAAAAGAUGGCUAUAAAAGGGGUGAGAUGUCUUUGUAGAAUGCAUUCCUUUCUUUGGUGCCUCCUCAUAACCAAUUCAAUAACAUGAACAUGUUGGUGAAUGUUUCAUCUUUCCUCCAGCAGUCAUUCUACUUUACUGUGCUCCAAUUCAUGUAAUUUUACUUAUUUUCAAGGCUUGUAAUGUAAUUAAGUACUGAUUUUUAAUAACUCUUGUCAUCUUCAAAUAGCCUAUCUCAUUUAAUUUUCUGUGUAAUUUUCAAAUACAAUCCAACCCUUCAAAUGCGUUGUAAGAUUACAUGGUAAGCUUAACUAUUUGUUUUGGCUUAAUAAUUGCUUCUUUUCUAAGCAAAAAUGCCGCCAAGCUUAUGCAGGACUCUUAGGUCCCCAUUGUCAAAUUUCAAUCCUGUAUGGUUACCCUAUUGUUUAAAUUUAUUGUAUGUAAUUUAGUCCGGUUUAACUAGCACAUUUUUCACUAUGAUUUUUCUAUUUCCACCGAGACAAUUCAAUGAAUUUUUGACAUUAUUUUCCACAUACGAAAUUAAAAAACCUUUUUUCCAGUUUAAAGUUUGUCUUAUGUGAUUCGAAAUAAUGUUUCAACCCAAGAACAUCCAUUUCAAGCACAAAAAUUGCACCAGCAAAAAGAAACUUUAAUGCACACAAAUUGCACAUUACUAUGCUCCAAGCCAAAAUCUAAUCUUAGAAGCCAUUUAAGUUGUAGGUAAUAUGAUGGAAAGCAGAGAAAACUCAAUUGUUAGUUAUGGCUUCAACUAAAGUAUUUAGAAAUUUAGGUCGGGCACAAAAGAAGCUGAAAAUGAGUAAUCAUGCUUUUUGAUCCGAGUCAUUUUCACUUCUGGAAACCUGCUUCCUGAGUAAUGGGUCGUUUUCACCAUAUUCAUUCCAUCCAUGGUAACCUCAUGCUUUCUUAUGGGUUUUAAUUGUUUAAUCUAUUCUUUCAGUUAAAAGAAUAUUAAACCAUUAAGCAUACAUCUUCCAUAGCACAAGAAAUAGAACCUUAGUUAACUAUAAUCACCAAAUCAUAUGAAAAAUGGCGAAAUGCUCUCCCAUCAGGUAGCGGAAACUGAUGAGGUUGUCCGUUAUGGCUGUGACUUAUUGUGAAUAUCGCUUCAUUUGAGCUUUAACUUGAGUGUCUCUUAUUUGUUACAUAAUUUAGGGCUUGAUCGAGUUUAAGUAGUUCUUGAAGUUCACUUUAAAUUUUAUCUUUUCAAGAUUUCCUUUCGUUCCAUUUUCCUUAAAUUUUUCUUUUUGGGUCAAAUUUGUACUACUCACUCUUUUUGGUAAAGUUCUCCGUUUUAUGCAGGGAUUAGUAAGGCAAAAGAUUGAGGAUGUUCAGAGACAAAGGUUACUUUUUUGAAUAGGUAUGUUUGAUUCUCAACUUCAAUUCUGCAGAAAAAGAUGAUGUAUUCUAAUGCAAGAGACUUAUACCAGUGUUUUGGUUCACAAUAAUAUUUCAAAUAAAAAUUAUCGUAAGCACUCAAACUGCACAUAGCAAAAAUGAACUCCAAUGCAUGCAUAUCGCGCACACAUUUAUAUGCAGAAAACAUUAAUGAAUAAUCACAUAAUAUAGUGUAAAAGUUCUUUCAAAUACCAAACCAGUCAAUUGGUAAUAGUAUCAAAAGACGUCAAAAGAGGCAGUAUCUAUCUGGGGUGGGGAGUAAGGAAGCUCUGCAAAAGAACAGCAUAGCCCUAGAUAAAACUAGUGCUUCCUCAGUUUCAGAGAAUCCAACAAAAAGAGGCGCAUAGAUGGGCAGAAGGGGAACAGUGAGGAAGUCAGAAACCAAAUGACAACAGUGAGCAGGGCGACCCACAAAUUUUCUUCUGGAAAUUAUCUAAAGGGCUAUUUGGGAGAUGAAAGAGUUAUUUCUGCCAGUGACAAGUCCACAAGCACAAAGAAGUGGUCUAAAUUUGAACUUCCCACAACGUUGACGGGAAAAGCAACAACAAAAAUCUUCGAGAAGCUACACUAGUGAAGCAUUGUUGUUGAAUUGGAAUCUGUAAAUAAGACGAGCAUGAACAUGGAAAAUGAGAAGCCAUCAGUUGUUAAUGCACUGAAGAUUAAUAAAAAAAUGUGCUAAAUUUCUUUGUUCCAACAAGCCUCAAAAGUCUUCCAUGUGUGAUUGAACUAGGAAGUUAAAUACAAAUGUUAAAGAAAUUGUGUUGACGAGUGCAUUAUAAUCAACCAACCUUACAUCAAACAGCAGAAUACUUUCCCAUCAUAUUGGCGGAGCCGUGAUCUCUAUCUCAACUUCCAUCCACCAAUAGAGGUUUGACAUGGCCCACUUGCCGUGAUCUGUGACUACUUAUUUUGAAUAUGGCAUUAUUUGAGCUUUAAAUUGAGUGUUUUNACUAGGAAGUUAAAUACAAAUGUUAAAGAAAUUGUGUUGACGAGUGCAUUAUAAUCAACCAACCUUACAUCAAACAGCAGAAUACUUUCCCAUCAUAUUGGCGGAGCCGUGAUCUCUAUCUCAACUUCCAUCCACCAAUGGAGGUUUGACAUGGCCCACUUGCCGUGAUCUGUGACUACUUAUUUUGAAUAUGGCAUUAUUUGAGCUUUAAAUUGAGUGUUUUUUUUAAUUUGUUACAUGAUUUAGGGUUUGAUCAAGUUUAAAUAGUCUUUCUUAAAGUUCACUUCAAAUUUUAUCUUUUCAAGAUUUUCCCAUUGUUCCAUUUACCUUAAGUUUUUCUUUUUGGUGUUGAAUUUGUUCAAUCCCGUUCUUUUUUGUAGAUAAAGGAUACCUUUGUCACGGCAAUUACCUAUUUUAUACAGGAAUUGUUGGAAUUUUGUAUCGGAAAUUGGUUGUGACCAAUUUUACAUGAUUAUUUAAGUGGAAUUCUUAAUUUGGUGAAUGAGAAAUUAAGACAAAUGUAAGCCGCUUAAUACUGAAAAUUGUUGGAAAAUUGUAUAGAAUAUUGUAGAAUAUUCUAGAAAAUGGUUGGAUGAAAAUAUGUAUUGUCAUAUGAACGGUCAUAACCUUUGGUAUAAUUAUUUUCCAAUAAUUAUGAAUUUCAAGAGACGUGACUCUUGAUAUGGUUGUGGUCAUAACCUUUGGCAUAAUUAUUCUCCAAUAAUUAUGAAUUCCAAGAGAUGUGACUCUUGGUAUGGUUGUGUCUUUUGACAUACCUUUCCAACUACUAUAUAUAGAUCCCAUGUGUUUGAAUUUUAUCAUUCAAGAAAUUCAUGAAAGUCAAUAGAUAAUUCAUAUCAUUCCAUUCCAUGCUUACACUUUAGUUUGCAUAAAACACUUUUAGAAGUGAUUUAAAUUUGCAUCAAAGUCAUGGUCAUGGUAGAGAGGGAAUUCCGUUCGAGUUCGCUGGUCGAAGUCAUUUGAAGUGCUCCUAUGACUCGACGUGGUCGUUGUAUCUUGGGAGAUGAUUGCCGGAGAACCGUUAGCACCGAUGCGGGGCAAAUUCAUCUUAAGGAUAAAGUGUCCAACACUUGCCUCGGCCAAAAAUCCAUCACAUGCAUCUUCUCUCUUUAUUUUCUGAUUUCUGUUAAUUAUACUUUGAUUUCAGAAAAUUGAUUAAUCUGAUUUAUAUAUUUAUGCUGCAAGGUUUGAUCGUUCAAGAAUCGAAAGGGAAGAAUCCAUAUUCUUGAGUUCAGAAUCGGUAAAUUAUCAUUUCUCCUUGUUAAAUCCAAUUUUGGUAAGUUGGAUUACAUUUCGAUUUCAUGCAUAUAACCAGUAUGUUUAUUGUGAAUAUAAUAUGCACGAUAAUCGGUGUAAAUUCUCCAACAGGAAUAAAUUGGGGUGAAAGAUUUAAGAUAUUCAUAGGCAGAAAUUAGCUCUUUGAAUUGAAAUUUUUGAUUUUCAACUUCAACUUUGAAAAUCAGGUGAUGUAUUCUAAAGCACAAGUCUUAUACCAGCGUUUGGUUCACAACAAUAUUUUGAAAACAUUUGACUUCGGUUGGUUUUGUGUAAAUUUCUAAUUAUAUUGUACAAUAAUUUAUGUGCAAGCACUUGAAGGAGAUGUAUGUCACGAAACCACUGUUGGAGUCCACUCAUUCCUCUCAAUACCACCUGUUAUCCAUGAAAUCCUCUUCAAAAUCAUUACUCGCUUCACUAGAAUCAAAUGAACUCGGUAAUUAAUCAACAGCAUUAUGCUCCCAUCGACCCUGCCUUCUGUGGAUAUCCUACUUGAGAAGUAUGGGGAGUCUUUUUGAAUGCAGUCACUUUCUAGCUCAAGUGCAUGAACAAUGGCAUCAUCUCUACAAGCAUAUUUCCCCAUCUUAGAUGAAGUAGAUGCAGACAGCUUACUUUUCUGAAUGCAUGAAUCAUACUCCUUGCAGUGAAAAACUUUUACUCUUCGACUUCUCGAGAUUAUUCCAAUACCUUAAAGAAAUUCUCUAAGAACUCAAAUCAAAUUAUAUCUGAUACAUAUUAAACUCAAGGAGAUGCUUUACAUCGUUUAAAGCAUCUAAAUAUGGGGUAUUGAUAUUAAUAUUGAGGCGUUUGAAGUUUGCAACCUUUUCUUGACUAACAGAAAAGCAUGCACGCUCGAUGAAUAUAUUGGUUUGUACCUUAAACAUGUUCAAAGUUUUGUAGCAUCUUCUAUUAAAAGAAAAAUUACUUAAACAUGCUACUUCAUACUAUGAACAUGGAAAGAUGCAUUUAAAUUGCACUCAUCAACAAAUAAACCUCUAAUGCACAUGAAUUGCACGCAUUUAUACAUGCAGUGUACGAGUACUUAUCGUAUUAAUGUUAUUUAUGUGCAAGAACCUGAAGGAGAUGUAUGUCACAAAACCACUCCCAGGUCCUCGAAUCCUCUCAUUUUCCUCACUACCACCCUUUCAUCCUUCGAAUCAUUUGCAGUUCUCAACAUCCUAGAUUGUCUGUUACCUGGUCUACACAAUCCAACAUCUCGAAUGAUUCAAUGGAUGUUGGUAGUUCCUAUGUUGAAUCUUAAAUCUUCUAAAUUAUUGAAAUUCUCGUCAAAAUCAUUACUUCACUAGAAUAAAAAAGACACAGAAAUUAAUCAACAUCGUGAUGCUCCCAUGGACCUCGCCUUGUUCAUAUAUCCUACUUGAGAAGUGUGGGCCAUCUUUUCAAAUGCAAUCACUUUCAUGCUCAAGUGCAUGAAUAAUGGCAUCAUCUCUGCAAGCAUAUUUCCCCAUCUUCUUAGAUGAAGUGGAUGCAGACAGCUUAGCUUUCUCAGUGCAUGAAUCAUACUCCCUACAAUGGAUAACUUUUACUCUUUUUGAUUUCUCGAGAUUAUAUUAGUACCUUAAAGAAAUUCUCUAAAAACUCAAAUCAAAUUAAACUCAAGGAAGUGCAUUACAUCGUUCGAAGUAUCUAAAUAGGGGACAUUGAUUUUAAUAUUGAGGUGAUUGAAGUUUGGAGCCCAUUCAACCUUUUAUUGAUUAAUACACAAGCAUGCACACUCGAUGAAUGUAUCGAUUUGUACCUAAACAUAUUCCAAAUUUUGUAGCAUGUUCUGUUAAAUGAAAAAUUACUUAAACAUGCUAAUUUAUACUAUGAACAUGGAAUGAUGCACUGUAAUUGCACUCACUCAUCAACAAAUAGCACCUCUAAUGCACAUGAAUUGCACGCAUUUAUACAAGCUAUGUAUGAAUACGUAAAUCGUAUUCAUGUUAUUUAUGUACAAGCACUUGAAGGAAACACGAGUAUACUCCUGGAUAUAAGGUAAAAUGAAAAAUUACAUAACAAGCUACUUUAUGCCAUGAACAUGGUAAGAAGAACUCAAAUCGCACAUGGCAACAAAAGAAUACCUCUAAUGCAUGUGAAUUGCACCCAUUUAUAAAUGCAACGUAUGAAUAAUUAAUAAAAAUAUGAUCUCAGAGAUAACUAAACUUUGCCAAAAUCUAACUAGUGGAGAUAGCUCAACUUUUUUGUGAAUUUUGCACUCAACCUUGAUUUCAAAUGCUCUAUUAUGGUCAAAUUAGUUAAUUACAGUAACUUCGUUUUCGAUUGCCUCUCGUAUUGGACAGAAUGAAAUAAAUUCUGCUUAGAAAUUUUUUUGAACUAAACUUGAUAGAUUUUUUUCUGGGCUCUACAAAAGGAUCGAAUUGAGAAUUAUUUUGCAUUAAUUAUAAUUUAACAUACAUUUUUCUUUAGAUAAAAAUUUGGGAAAAAGAUAAAAAAAUAAAAAUAAAAAUAAAAAUGAAGAAGAGAUGGAAAAUUCACACAUUGAUUAAUAGUAGCGUAAGAAAUUAUGAAGUUAUUUUCUCUCUCCAAAAACAAUGCUAAAUAAACUUAAUACAGAAAAAAACCCUCUAUAUUUCAAGAAAAUCAACUAAAAAUUCAGACUUGACAACAUCAACCUCUGAUGUCACAAGUCAGGUAUUCAUAAACAUUUGCUAUAGAGAUGUGUUUUCCUGACAGCGUACAAUGUCUAGCACUAGAACAAUUAAAUAGAUUGACUAUAACUUUCUGGCUAGUGGCUUCGAGUCCGUACGAGGAAAUUUUGAACUCAUAUUCUUUACUUUUUUGCAGCCAAAACAAACAGAACAAGCUGACAAAAUGACAAUGAGGAAGAUAACUACGCCUAAUUAGUUCAUUCACCUAAGUUUUAUGUUACGUCUAAUUAGUUCAUUCGCUUGUGCGACAAUAAAGACGGAUCUCUCAUGCCUUGGUGAGAUUUUGUUACCGUUAGAUGCCACUAAUUAAGGCUAGAUUGUGGAAGUCUUCACCUUUUUUUCUCCAAGAAUUUCGAGCAUCCAUAGGCUGAGUUGGAGUAAGAUUAUAAUGGGCCGGAUAUUCUGCUUCGCAUCUCCCUUCUGUUUUACUUUCUGCUUCAGCGCCCAGCCCACUGUUUCCUGUUGUAAUAAACCAGACACCCACAAGGCAUCAUCAGCACACUCCUUCCAUCAAUCUCUGCCGAUAUCAAGUCCUCCUGCAUCAAGACCUGAAACUUUUUGGACGUUAUGUAAUAAGUGCCAGAUGCUAUAUGAGUUCCUGAAGAUUUAUCUUGACCAAACUCUAAUGUUCCCCCACUGUCGAGAACCCCUUUUGGCGAAAGAGGAGUCUGCUCCUGCUGCUGGAAGCGUUCCCAGUUUACUUUUCCCUUGGUCCUUCCACCAUCAGAAGCCAGGUUCAUCUGCUACAGUAGGGGGUUCCAAAAGUGUGACAGCUUCAGCUGUAAGAACUACUGAAACUACACAGAUGGUCCAGUCAGCUGGUAAGAGUCUCAAGAGAGGGCGCAAAGAAGCAGUGGCCCAUACAAUUUCAUUUGGAAAUCUAAAAGGCAGUUUUGGAGCCGAAAGAGUUACUUCAGCUAGUGAACAGUCAACAAGCACAAAGGAGUUAACUCAAUCUGAACUUUGUACGAUGCUGAUGGGAAAGGCGAAGACAGAAAUCCUUUAGAAGCUAAAACAGUGGGACAUUGCUCCUGAAUUGGAAUCAAAAAAAAAAAAAGGCAUGAACAUGGAAAAGGAGAAGCCAUCAGCUGUUAAUGCAUUUGAAGAUUAAUAAUAUAAAAAAAUUGUGUGUCAUGCCAUGUUUCUUUGUUCCAGCAAGCUUCAAAAGUCUUCCACGUGUGAUUGCACUGGGAAGUUAAAUGCAAAUGUUAAAAGAAACCAUUGAUAUUACACCUAAUGGCCGUGAUUUGUAUCUCAAAUUCCAUCCACCAAAGAAGAUUUGAUGCGGGCCACUUGCCGCCAUCUGUGACUAGCUACUGUUUUUGAAUAUAGCUUCAUUUGAGCUUUAAAUUGAGUGCUUUUUUUAUUUGUACAUGAUUUACGGCUUGAUCAAGUUUAAGUAGUCAGUCUUGUAGUUCACUUCAAAUUUUAUCUUUUCAAGACUUCCCCCCUGUUCCAUUUACCUUAAAUUUUUCUUUUUGGGGUUGAAUUAGUUCAGUCUCACUCUUUUUCGUAGAUAAGGGAAAUGAUACAUUUAUCACAACAGUUACCUGUUUUAUGCACGGAUUAAUAAGGCAGAAGAUUUAUGAUGUUUAGAGACAAAUGUUAAUUCUUUGAAUUGAAAUUUUUGAUUUCAACUUCAACUAUGCAAAUCAGGUGCUGUAUUAUAAAGCACGAGGCUUAUUCUAGUCUUUUGGUUCACAAUAAUAUUUCAAAAACUUUUUAAAAUUCGGUUGGUUGUAUAUACAUUUCUAGUUAACUUGCACAAUAAAUUAGGGUGCCUGAUAUUCCCCAAUUGGUAGAAAAAAAAACCACAACCCUUAGGGUUAUCCUGCGCUUGGAAACAGAAGUAGAAAAAGGAAUAAAUAUAGUGAUAAUUUGAUUCUUCAUCAUUGUAGUAAAUAGAUCAAUACACCAAUUACUACACUUGGAUUUAUUGGAUUUGUUGCUAAAAUAUUGGUAUUAAAUCCGAAACUCCUGGCAGAUGGGGCAUAAGAACUUUUUCCUUUAUGUUCGACGGAAUUUACGUUAGACCAUAUUUUUCGAAAUAGAUCUCUAUGUUAUGCUACAAGUCUAAGUUUUGGCAAAAAAAAAAAAAAAAGGAUGAGGUUGGGUCCUAUCAGAUCUAAACAAUUUCCAUCCAAAAUUUAAUAGUUGGUCCAUUCUCAGUCUCAGUAAAGUCCAUCUUGUUGCAAUAGAAAUGAACAAGAACAAAUAAGUUUUAGCUAAUGUAAUAAAGAUACCGAUUAUUGUUAUUAAUGUUAGUUGAAAGAAGUGUAAUUCAUAGUUGACAGUGUGUUUAGAUUGGAAUUUUGUUUUUGGCAAAAAGAUAGUGCUACAAGGGGUGAGAUGUCUUCGUAGAAUGCAUUCCCUUCUUUGGUUUCUUGUCAUAACCAGUUCAAUAACAUGAACAUGUUGGGGGAAUUUUUCCAAUGUUUCAUCUUUCCUCCAGCAGUCAGUCUGGUAAAUUACAAUAACUCUUGUUAGCUUCAAACAGUCCAUUAUUUAAUUUUCCGUUUAAUUUUCAAAUACAAUCAAACCCUUCAAAUGCACUGUAAGAUUACAUAUUAUGCUUAACAAUUAAUUUUGGUUUUAGAAUUGCUUCAUUAAAACCCGUCCAAGCUUAUGCAAGACUCUUAGGUCUCCACUGUCAGAUUUCAGCCCUGAAUAUUUAGCACUUAGCCAAUUGUUUAAAUCUAUUGUAUGUAAUUUAGUCUGGAUUUAACUGGUGCAUUUUUCCCUAAGAUUUUUCUAUUUUUACAGAAACAAUUCGACAAAUUUUUUACAUUAUAUUCUACAUAUGAAAUUAAAAACCAUUUUUUUUUCUCAGUUUAAAGUUAUGUCUUAUGUGCUUGGAAAUAAUGUUUCAUCCCAAAGUUAUCCACUUGAAGCACAAAAAUUGCACAAGCAAAAAGAAACUUUAAUGCACACAAAUUGCACAUUACUAUACUAGGAGCCAAAAUUUAAUCUUAGAAACCAUUUAAGUUGCAGAGAAAACUCAAUUGGUAGUUUUGGCUAGUUAGUAAUUCAGGAAAGCAAAUGUAUUGUAAUAAAAUACUAUACGUUGUCUCAAAUUCUGCUUAGUGCACAAAAGAAACUGAAAUGAGCAAUCACAAUUUUCAAGCACAAGGGGAUAUUUUAGCUCUGCAGGAACUUGUCCCCUAGUUGGAGAGAGAGCGAAUCCGGUAAAAUGAUACAUGAAUAUUGUAUGUUUGUUAUUUAUUGAAACUAAGAUCGAUCCAACUCAUUUUCACUUCAUGUAACCUGCUUCUUGUGUAUUGAGUCGUUUUCACCAUAUUCAUUCCAUCCAUGGCAACCCUGUGCUUUCUUAUGGGUUUUAAUUGUUUAAUUUAUUCUUCAGUUGAAAGAUUAAACAUACAUCUUCCAUAGCACAGGAAAUAAAACCUUAGUUAAUUAUAAUCACCCAACCAUGAUUAAGGCCCAUCUCUCGCCAUCUGUGACUACUUAGUACUUAUUGGGAAUAUUGCUUCAUUUGAGCUUUGGAUUGAGGGUUUUUUAUUUGUUACAUGAUUUAGGGCUUGAUUGAGUUUAAGCAAUCAAUCUUGAAGUUCACUUCAAAUUUUAUCUUUUCAAGAUUUUCCUUUUUUCCAUUUACCUUAUUUUCUUCUGGAAUUGAAUUUCUUCAGUCUCGCUCUUUCUGGUAGAUAAGAAAAAGGAUGAAUUUGACACAAGUUAUCUGGCUUAUGCAGAGAUUAAUAAAGAAAAAGGAUGAAUUUGACAAGUUAUCUGCCUUAUGCAGAGAUUAAUAAGGCAAAAGUUCAGGAUGUUCAAAGGCAAAGGUUACUUCUUUGAAUUGAAAUUUUUGAUUUUCAACGUCCAUUCUGCAAAUCAGGUGCUGUUUUCUAAUGCACGAGAGUUAUACCAGUGUUUUGGCUCACAAUAAUAAUUCAAAAACUUUGACUUCAGUUGGUCGUUUGUACAAUUUCUAGUCAAACUGUACAAUAAUUUAGCUUGGCGUUUAUACAAGGAUAUUUUUCAAAUAAAAAAUUAGAACACUGCAACUCUUUACAAUGAACAUGAGCACUCAAACUGCACACAGCGAAAAUGAAAUCCAAUGCAUGCAGAUCGCACACACAUUUAUGCAUAGAAAACAUGGAUGAAUAAUCACAUAAUAUCAUGUCAAAGUGAAGUCAAAAUGAAAAGAAGGGAUAAUCACCCAACCCUGUGUCCAAAUGAAAUGAAGCCAUAUGAGUUUUUUUUUUUACCUUACAUUACAAUCUGUGUCCACUCUGGCCAAGGUAUCAGUGAACAGCCAAUGGUGGCCAACAAACUCCCACUCAUCAAAGGACUCCAGAAACAGCCCCCACUGCUUAGUAUGUUCCCUCUCCACCCUGGCCCAAGCGAUGAGAUGGCAGCCAACAGUGCCCAGCACAUAACUCCAGAAGCUGCUGCCAAUUUCCAUAUGUUCCCGUCCAUAGUCAUCAAAAUCCUCCUAAAAUUGCUAACAAUUUUCAGUGCUUUCAAAACCCCACUUCCAAGGAACCAGACACUCAUUGGGCAUUAUGUCCUGCCAGCAAUUCUCUAUGGAUCCCCAGUCGUCAUCCAUCAAGACCUGACUUUUUUAAUGUCAUGCAAUAAGUGCAGGAUACUAUGAGUUCCUGAAGAUUUACAGCGAUGAAACUCUCACGUGUCUCCACUAUCGAGAGCCCCUUUGGUGAUAGAGAAGUCUGCUCCUGCAUCUGGAAGAAUUCGCAGUUCACGUGUUCCUUGGUCCUUCCACCAUCAGAAUCCAGGUGCAUCUGCUGCAUCACAGAGUUCCGAAAGUGCAACAACUUCAGCUACGAGAGCCACUGAAACUGUAGUGUGCCCAGAUAGUUGGUGAGAGUCUCAAGAGAGGGCUCAAAGAGAGUCUGGAGUGGCGAGUAUGGAGGCUCUGCGAAGAAAUAACAUAGCCACAGACAAAACUGAAGCUCCCUUAGAUUCAGAGAAUCCAAUCAAGAGAGGUGUGUAGAUGAACAGAAGGUGAAUAGUGCAAAAUACAGAAACCAAAUGACAGGAGGGAGAAUGGCAGCCCAUAUUUCAUUUGGAAAUCCACAGGGAAAUUUGGGAGCUGAAAGAGUUAUUUUCUGCUAGUGAGCAGUCCAGAAGCACAAAGGAGUAGUCUCAAUCUGAAUUUCGUACCAUGCUGAUGGAAAAGGCUAAGACCGAAAUCUUCAAGAAGCUAAACCAGUGGAGCAUUGUUGCUAAAUUGGGACCUGCAAAUAAGAAGAACAUAAAUAUGGAAAAGGAGAAGCCACCAGCCGUUAGUGAUAUGAAGAUUAAAACAAUAAAUGUGUUGCGUUUUAUUGUUCCAGCAAGAUAUCCCAGCCUCCGAAGUCUUGUGUGUGUGAUGGCGCUGGUAAGUUAAAAUGCAAAUGUUAAAGAAAAACUGACUUCAAUUGGUCUGAUGUAAAAUUUCUAGUUAAAUUGUACAAUGAUUUAGCUCAGCGUUUAUACAAGGAUGUCUUUCAAAUAAAGAAUUAGAACACUGCAACUUUUUACAAUGAACAUGAGCACUUAAACUGUACGCUGCAAAAAUGAACUCCAAUGCACGCUGAUCGCACACACAUUUAUACAUAGAAAAAAUGGAUGAAUAAUCACAUAACAUAGUGUUGAAGUGCUGUCAAAAUGAAAAGAAGUGAUAAUCACCCAACCCUGUGUCCAAAUGAAAUGAAGCCAUAUAAGUUUGUUUCCUUGUAUUACAAUCUUUGUCCACUCUAGCCAAGAUUUCAGUCAACAGCCAAUGGUGGCCAACAAAUUCACACUCAUCAAAUGACUUCAGAAACAGCCCCUUUGUUCCCCCUCCACCCUGGCCCAAGGGAUCCGAUGACAGCCAGCGGUGCCCUGCACAUUAUUCCAGAAGCUGCUGCAAAUUUUAAUUAAGUUCACAUCCGUAAUCAUCAAAAUCCUCCUAACGCUAGCAAUUCUCUACUCAUCAACCAGUUAUCAUCCAUCAAGACCUGAAACUUUUUUGAUGUCAUGAAAUAAGUGAAAGAUACUAUAUGCGUUCCUGAAGAUUUACAACUAUGCAACUCUCAUGUGUCCCCACAAUUGCAAGCCCUUUUUGGUGAUAGAAAAGUCUGCUCCCGCAUCUGGAAACAUUUACAGUUCACGUGUUCCUUGGUCCUUCCACCUUCAGAAUCCAGGUCAGACUACUGCAUCAGUGAGUUCAAAUAGUUCAACUUCAGCUACAGGAGCCACUGAAACUGCACAUAGUCUCCAGAGAGUUGGGGAGAGUCUCAAGAGAGGGCGCAAGGAGAAAGUAUAUGGGGCAGGGAGUAUGGAGGCUCUGCAAAGAAAUACCAUAGCCACAGAUAAAACUGAAGCUCCCUCAGCUUCAGAGAAUCCAAUCAAAAAGAGGUGUAUAGAUGGGCAGAAGAUGAACAGUGCAGAAGACAAACCAAAUGGCAGGAGGAAGCAGGGUGGCCCAUACAAUUUCAUUUGGAAAUUUACAGGGAAAUUUGGGAGCUGAAAGAGUUAUUUUCUGCUAGUGACCAGUCCACAAGCACAAAGGAGUGGUCUCAAUCUGAAUUUCGUACUAUGCUGAUGGAAAAGGCCAAGACAAAAAUCUUGGAGAAGCUAAACCAGUGGAGCAUUGCUGCUGAAUUGGGACCUACAAAUAAGAAGACCAUAAACGUGGAAGAGGAGAAGCCAUCAGCUGUUAAUGAUAACUGAUAUGUGGAUUAAAGAAAUAAAUGUGUUGCGUUUCACUGUUCCAGCAAGACAUCCCAGCCUCAAAAGUUUUCUAUGUGUGAUGGCAAUGGUAAGUUGAAACGCAAAUGUUAAAGAGAAACUGACUUCAAUUGGUCGUGUGUAGAAUUUCUAGUUAAGCCCCUGUUUGGUGGCCAUUAUUUACCAAAAACAAUGUCUUGAAUAGUGAAAUUUUGGAGAAUAUGAUGAAAAAAUAGGAAAAAAAUUUGGGUUUAUAUGCAAGAUAUUUUAUUGUGUUAAUGUGUGAUUAAAAAUGAGUAUGUAGAAAAAAAGGGGGUUUUAGUUUAAAGGCUAUAAACAGGCACUAAAUUGUACAAUAAUUUAGCUCGGAUUUAUACAAGGACGUCUUUCAAAUAAGAAAUUAGAACACUGCAACUUUUUACAAUGAACCUGGACACUCAAACUGCACAAUGCAAAUAUGAACUCCAAAACACGCAGAUCGCACACACAUUUAUACAUAGAAAAGAUGGAUGAAUAAUCACAUAAUAUAGUGUUAAAAUAAUGUCAAAAUGAAAAGAAGUGAUAAUCACCCAACACUGUUUCCAAAUGAAAUGAAGCCAUACAAGUCUGUUUCCUUAUAUUACAAUCUGUGUCCACUCUGGCCAAGGUAUCAGUCAACAGCCAAUGGUGACCACCACAUUCCCACUCAUCAAAGGACUCCAGAAACAGCCCCUUCUAGUAAGUAUGCUCCCCUCCACCCUGGACCAAGGGAUCCAAUGACAGCAGUGUUGCCCGGCACAUGACUCCAGAUGCAGCUUUGCCAAUUUUCAUUUAUGUUUAUGUCCGCAAUGAUCAAAAUCCUCCUAAAUUUGCCAACAAUUUUCAGUGCUUUCCCACCCCACUUCAAAGGAACCAGACACCCAUCACGCAAUAUCACCAUACUCCUGCCAGCGAUUCUAUACCAAUCCCCUGUCAUCCAUCAAGACCUGAAACUUCUUUAAUGUCAUGCAAUAAGUGCAGGAUACUAUAUGAGUUCCUCAAGAUUUACGGCAACGAAACUCUUGUGUGUCCCCACUAUCAGGACCUUUUUGGUGAUAGAGAAGUCUACUCCUGCAUCUAGAAGCAUUCCCAGUCCACAUGUUCCUUGGUCUUUCCACCAUCAGAAUCCAGGUGCAUCUGCUGCAUCAGGAAGUUCCAAAAGUGUAACAACUUCAUUUAAGAGAGCCACUGAAACUGCACAGUGUCCAGAUAGUUGGCGAGAGUCUCAAGAAAGGGCGAAACGAGACAGUAUCUGGGGCAGGGUGUACGAAGGAUCUGCAAAGAAAUAGCAUAGCCACAGAUAAAACCGAAGCUCCCUCAACUUCAGAGAAUCCAAUCAAAAAGGGGGGCAUAGAUGGGCAGAAGGUGAACAGUGCAGAAGAAUAAACCAAACGACAGGAGGAAGCAGGGUGGCCCAUACAAUUUCAUUUGGAAAUCUACAGGGAAAUUUGGAAGUUGAACGAGUUAUUUUCUACUAGUGACCAAUCCACAAGCACAAAGGAGCGGUCUCAAUCUCUGAACUUCGUACCAUGCUGAUGGAAAAAGCUAAGACAGAAAUCUUCAAGAAGCUAAACCAAUGGAGCAUUGCUGCUGAAUUGGGACCUACAAAUAAGAAGAAUAUCAACGUGGAAAAGGAAAAGCCAUCAGCUGUUAGUGAUAUGAGGAUUAAAGAAAUAAAUGUGUUGCAUUUCAUUGUCGCAGCAAGACAUCCCAGUCUCAAAAGUCUUCUAUGUGUGAUGGCACUGAUAAGUUAAAAUGCAAAAGUUAAAGAAAACUGACUUCAAUUGGUCAUGUGUAAAAUUCCAAGAUAAACUGUACAAUAAUUUAGCUACGCGUUCAUACAAGGAUAUCUUUCAAAUGAAAAAUUAGAACACUGCAACUUUUUGAACACUCAAACUGCACAAAGCAAAAAUGAACUCCAAUGCACGCAGAUUGCACGCAUUUAUACAUAGAAAACAUGGAUGAAUAAUCACAUAAUAUAGUGUUGAAGUGCUGUCAAAAUGAAAAGAAGUGAUAAUAACCCAACCCAGUGUCCAAAUGAAAUGAAGCCAUAUAAGUUUGUUUGUUUAUUUUUUAUUUUUUAUUUUUAUAUUACUAUCUUUGUCCACUCU